GGGUUCGGUCCCCAGCUCCAAAAAAAGAAAAAAAAAAAAAAAAGAAAGCAAGCUGACCAAGUCACAGGCAGCAAUCCAGCAACCCCUCCAAUGGCCUCUGCAUCGGCUCCUGCCUCCAGGUUCCAGCCCUGUUUGAGUUCCUGCCCUGACUUCCCUCAAAGGACUGUGAUGUGGAACUGUAAGUUCUAAUAAACCUUUUCUUCUCCAAGUUGCUUUAGGUCAUGGUGUUUUAUCACAGCGAUAGAAACCUUAACUGAAACAAAUAGGCAAGGGGUAGGAAAGAUGGCUCAGAGGUUAAGAGCACUGGCUGCUCUUACAGAGGACCCUGGUUCAAUUCCCGGCACCCACAUGGCAGCUCACAACUGUCUGUAACUCCAGUUCCAGAGGAUCUGAUAGCCCCACACAAGCAAAGCACCAGUGCACAUAUUUUUUUUAAAACAUCAGAGAAACUUUUUAAAAAUGUAGGUAAUAGGCAAAACUUACUCUUGUGCCAUCUCUGGGAUGACCCUCUGCAGUCUAGAGCAAAUCAAGUCUUACUCAUCUGAGUGACAGUCACUCUCAUCUGAGUGACUGCUCAGGGUGGCACGAGGGUACUGGAAGCCACACCCACUCCAGCGUUCUGUCUGUGGUUCCUCUUUGACUUUUGUCUGUCUGAGUCACUGUGAUAGAAGCAGUGUGCUCUGUGAAGCCUAAAAUAUCACCAUCCACUCCUCCCCAGAAA
rnacentral:lncRNA from 1 species